rnacentral:rRNA from 1 species
UUACCCAAUCUCAGCUCGGGGAGGUAGUGACGAAAAGUAACAAUGCGGGACUCUUCCGAGUCUACGGAAUUGGAAUGAGCACACUUUAAAUCCUUUAGCAACAGCCAAUUGGAGGGCAAGUCUGGUGCCAGCAGCCGCGGUAAUUCCAGCUCCAAUAGCGUAUAUUAAAGUUGUUGCGGUUAAAAAGCUCGGAGUGCGAGUUCAGUUCCGGACUGGCCGGGGAGGUCACCGCCCGGUGCUUCCCCGUCAGGCUCCGAACAGCUUUCAUGAGUGAAAGCCAAGCCGGUUUCGCCGGGGUGCUCUUCACCGAGUGUCCCGCGCGGCCGGCCAGUUUACCUUGAAUAAAUCAGAGUGCUCAAAGCAGGCUACUCUUAAAAAUAAAGCCCGAAUGUUACCUGCUUGGAAUGAUGGAAGAUGAUCUCGGUUCCAUUUGUUCGGUUCUGGGAAUCCGAGUUAAUGAUAAACAGGGACUGUCGGGGGCAUCCGUACUACGACGCGAGAGGUGAAAUUCAGUGACCGUCGUAGGACGAACAACAGCGAAAGCAUUUGCCAAGAAUGUCUUCGUUGAUCAAGAACGAAAGUUAGAGGAUCGAAGGCGAUCAGAUACCGCCCUAGUUCUAACCCUAAACGAUGCUGACUAGCAAUCCGCCGUCGUUAUUCCCAUGACGUGGCGGGACGCCCCCGGGAAACCUCAAGUCUUUGAGUUCCGGGGGUAGUAUGGUUGCAAAACUGAAACUUAAAGGAAUUGACGGAAGGGCACCACCAGGAGUGGAGCCUGCGGCUUAAUUUGACUCAACACGGGGAACCUCACCAGGCCCGGACACCAGAAGGAUUGACAGAUUAAGAGCUCUUUCUCGAUUUGGUGGGUGGUGGUGCAUGGCCGUUCUUAGUUGGUGGAGUGAUUUGUCUGGUUAAUUCCGGUAACGAACGAGACUCUGGCCUAUUAAAUAGUCGACGUGGGUUUUGGUGCAUGGGCCCCGUUCGAUAAUGUCUUCUUAGAGGGAUGAGCAGCGAGUAUAGCUGCAGGAGAUUGAGCAAUAACAGGUCUGUGAUGCCCUUAGAUGUCCUGGGCCGCACGCGCGCUACACUGAAUGGAUUAGCGGGUUCUCCUUCUCCGAGAGGAGCGGGAAAUCGCGUGAAAACCAUUCGUGAUAGGGAUUGGGGCUUGCAAUUGUUUCCCAUGAACGAGGAAUUCCCAGUAAGCGCAAGUCAUCAGCUUGCGUUGAUUAAGUCCCUGCCCUUUGUACACACCGCCGCGCUCGCUACUACCGAUUGAAUGAUUUAGUG